AAUUUUAUGAGUUGAAGUUUGAAAUUUGAAUUCUGAAAUUUGAAAUUUGAAAUUUUAGGUUUUUUUUUAAUUUUUUGAAUAAUCACCCUCGAUCUUUUCUUAAAGUUUUUUUCUUAAAUUUUCAAUUAGCAACAAGGGUUAAUGAGAUAUGAUAACAAUAAAAUUCUGAUUCUAAAAUAAUUAAAUACAGAAAAUUUAAAACAGAAAGCAGCAAGGUUUCGUAUUAAUCUAAUGGUCCUGCAAAUAAUUAAUCUCAGAAUGUCAAUCAGACCGUUCGGAUGAAAGAAACACAGGUCCUGCACCUGACGACCAAAUUUGAGUUCAAUCAGACGGUUAAUUACUUUGAUAUCAGAGUUUGAUGCAGACUGUGCAGGGAAUAAAAAAACAGCAGUAAAGAAUUUUUUUUUUUUGUUUUCGAAAGGAAAAGACUAACUAUUAAAGUACUAAUUAAAUCUAAAAUUAUACUAAUAAAUCAGCCGUUCCCCGGCAACGGCGCCAAAAACUUGAUGCGUCACAGAAAUGUUCUCCCAAGUGCAGGAGAAUCGCACAAGUAGUAAAAUCUCGGAAGUCCGAGGUCGAAUCCUCAGGGAACAAAAUAUAUAUUAGAUUAUUUAAUAUAAUUUUAGAUUUGUUGCCCAGAUAGACAACCCAAGAGGGGGGGUGAAUUGGGUUUUAAAAUAAUUUAGAU
rnacentral:lncRNA from 1 species